rnacentral:lncRNA from 1 species
CAGCUAUGCAGGGUUUGUAAAUCCAUCUAUAUGAUAUAAUUUCCACAUAAUAUACAUAUAAGACAUCUAGCUAGGUACUGCUUCCCAAUUGGUUGUAAUAUAGUGGUAAAGCCUCAGUGUCCACAUGUGUACUUAAGAUUUUGGCGGUCGAGUUUCGGGACUCUAUUCCCCGAUUGCGAAGGUUAGCAAAGUGCUGCUUGAUUUAGUGUCAACUCCUGGACUACCCCCAAAUGAGUUAAAUUUGAUGGGCAAUGUGCUGCAACUAGAGUCUCUGCAUGCCUGUUACAAAAGACUGUUUAAGUUUGUUGGAGGUAUGUUGGUAUGCUUCCUGCCCCUUUUCUAUUUCAUUUUUGUGUAUUUUAUGAAGUGAAAACAAUUUUGUUAUUGUGAUAUUCUGUCCUCUUAAUCGGGUCUGAUUACUGUCUGUUCUACAGGGAUAUAAGUUUGAAAGUUUCACGUGAUUCAUGUUUCUGCUAGACAUAAUGUUUCUGUUUCUUUUAAUUUUUGUAUCACUCCUUUCUGAAGUAAAUGCAAAUCUUUCAUUAGUACUGUUGUCAGAACUACUAAUGAUAUGUUGAUACUACAUCUGCUUCUAAUCAAAAUCAGCUAUUCUUCAUUUUUGUGUAUUUUGUGAUUUGUAUUUCAUUUGGGUUAUGGGCUUGGCCCAGUUUGGAACUCUGGAUCGUCACGUGUUUAAUUUGUGCACUUGUUUUCAAGGUUUCAGAUCUUCUCCUGCUAGUUAGUAUAGAGGCCCAUGUGUUUGUCCUUCGGAAUGACCAAGUUCUUAUGGAUUCCAAAAUAUCAAAGUUACUAAAAGUUGGUGGAAGUUGGAAAGGGUCCUCUCUAUAUACUUGGUUGUAUAUACAUAUAUUCAACUCGCUUUCCAUAUAGAUUGUAAAACAACAAAGGACUGUUGUAGUACGCAGGGUCAGUUUAACAAAGGACUGUUGUUGAAUGCUUUAAUCAGAGCUAAUAAGCUAGAAGUUAUAGGAGGUGGAAAUUACCCUUUCGCUAUGUUUGGUUGGGCGAAUAUAAAUUGGCCGAGAUUCAAGUAAAAUAUGUACCAUUUUGCAUGUGAUAUUCAUAAGUUUCAUUCAUUUUUCUGUACAAUUCUACAAAUUUAAGUCUAAGUUUAAUAUCUGACAUUUAGGGAUGAAUUCAUUUCCUCAUCCGACCAAUGUCCUAUUACAAACAAACAAUGUUACAAUAAUCUACACUUCUAUUGCACCCUUGUCUUGCAUUUUUACUUUGCAGUUUUCCAUCUCAUUUUUACUCUAACCAAUUUGUUGGUCUCCCUGUAUGCAGGGACAACCUGUGAGGAAAAAAAACACUCUAUC